rnacentral:rRNA from 1 species
GGGGGAAUAACUUCGGGAAACCGAGGCUAAUACCGCAUAAUACCCACGGGUCAAAGGAGCAAUUCGCUUGAGGAGGAGGUCGCGGCCGAUUAGUUAGUUGGCGGGGUAAUGGCCCACCAAGACAGUGAUCGGUAUCCGGCCUGAGAGGGCGCACGGACACACUGGAACUGAAACACGGUCCAGACUCCUACGGGAGGCAGCAGUGGGGAAUUUUGCGCAAUGGGGGAAACCCUGACGCAGCAACGCCGCGUGGAGGAUGAAGUCUCUUGGGACGUAAACUCCUUUCGAUCGGGACGAUUAUGACGGUACCGGAAGAAGAAGCCCCGGCUAACUUCGUG